rnacentral:rRNA from 1 species
UUAAAUUGAAGAGUUUGAUCAUGGCUCAGAUUGAACGCUGGCGGCAGGCCUAACACAUGCAAGUCGAACGGUAACAGGAAGCAGCUUGCUGUUUCGCUGACGAGUGGCGGACGGGUGAGUAAUGUCUGGGAAACUGCCUGAUGGAGGGGGAUAACUACUGGAAACGGUAGCUAAUACCGCAUAACGUCGCCAGACCAAAGAGGG